GAAACGGGUAAUUCAAGUAAAAGCUUCUAACUUUUAGCUUAAGCGAUGAAAUUUCGUUUGCGUUUCU
rnacentral:tRNA from 1 species